rnacentral:rRNA from 1 species
GAACGCUAGCGGCAGGCUUAACACAUGCAAGUCGAGGGUAGUUACUUCGGUAAUUGAGACCGGCGCACGGGUGCGUAACGCGUAUACAAUCUACCUUUUACAGAGGGAUAGCCAGAGAAUUUGGAUUAAUACCUCAUAGUAUUUUUGAAUCGCAUGAUUUGAUUAUUAAAGUUCCAACGGUAAAAGAUGAGUAUGCGUCCCAUUAGCUAGUUGGUAAGGUAACGGCUUACCAAGGCUACGAUGGGUAGGGGUCCUGAGAGGGAGAUCCCCCACACUGGUACUGAGACACGGACCAGACUCCUACGGGAGGCAGCAGUGAGGAAUAUUGGACAAUGGGCGCAAGCCUGAUCCAGCCAUGCCGCGUGCAGGAUGACGGUCCUAUGGAUUGUAAACUGCUUUUAUACAGGAAGAAACACUCCGACGUGUCGGAGCUUGACGGUACUGUAAGAAUAAGGAUCGGCUAACUCCGUG